rnacentral:lncRNA from 1 species
UGGUAACCAUUUCCCGUUUGUAAUCUAAAAUGACUGAAAAUUGCACACUUCGCAAGGCUAUAUUAUCCGCAUUUUACAACAUUUUGCAACGAAACUUUGGAAUAUUACUAUAGAUUUUGUGAUGCUCUUUCAAGCUGUGAUGAAAUUCUGGUCUGGACUUGUUGAGUUCAAAAUUUUGGUUAAUUGGGGAAUGGUCCAUUACGUUGCCAAGUUCGGAAGUUGGGCGUGAACUUCGCAACGAAGUUCGCAAGUUGAUUUCAAAGUUCGAACUUUGAUUGUAAACAAAUGUUCAUAGUUGGAGUUGGAGUUGAAAUUACUGUAUAAGGCCCUAUGCACAUAUAACUGCAGUAAAAUAUUGGUCCAGUGGUCUCCCAAGACGAAAAAUGCCUUUUUAAAUAAAUUUAUAAAUGAAAUUUUUACAUUUGUUUACAAUCGAAGUUCGAACUUUGAAAUGAACUUGCGAACUUCGUUGCGAAGUUCCCGCCCAACUUCCGAAUUUGGAAACGUAAUUGGCAAGUUGACAACAAACUUGGGAACCACGCUUUGAAAAGUAAUAUGAAAUCGACAAAAGGCCUUCAAAUGCUUCUUACAAACGUGAACGUUUCUGGUAAGAAUGUUUUUAUCUGAAACUGUUCAAUGUUAGACGCCCGACAUGCUACGGUAUCGGACUUGAAGACAUGUUUGCCUGGCAAAAGCCUCUGCAAUCAUCUCUCAUUGUCCUGAUCGAUUUCCUCGCGUGCGCCCCAAUCAAAUCCACCAGGCCGAUCUUCGGGCAUUGGUUGGUAAUUUGGAUCUGCGGAUGGAGCAUCGAAUAUUGUUUUU